rnacentral:tRNA from 1 species
GCCCUGGUGGUGCAGUGGUUAAGCACUUGGCUUUCUAACCAAAAGGUGCGUGGUUCAAAUGCACUCAGGGCU